CCUACGGGUGGCAGCAGUGGGGAAUAUUGCACAAUGGGCGCAAGCCUGAUGCAGCCAUGCCGCGUGUGUGAAGAAGGCCUUCGGGUUGUAAAGCACUUUCAGCGGGGAGGAAGGCGGUGAGGUUAAUAACCUCAUCGAUUGACGUUACCCGCAGAAGAAGCACCGGCUAACUCCGUGCCAGCAGCCGCGGUAAUACGGAGGGUGCAAGCGUUAAUCGGAAUUACUGGGCGUAAAGCGCACGCAGGCGGUCUGUCAAGUCGGAUGUGAAAUCCCCGGGCUCAACCUGGGAACUGCAUUCGAAACUGGCAGGCUAGAGUCUUGUAGAGGGGGGUAGAAUUCCAGGUGUAGCGGUGAAAUGCGUAGAGAUCUGGAGGAAUACCGGUGGCGAAGGCGGCCCCCUGGACAAAGACUGACGCUCAGGUGCGAAAGCGUGGGGAGCAAACGGGAUUAGUACCCGGGUAGUC
rnacentral:rRNA from 1 species